GAAGGAAGGAAUGUCAUCAGUGACAUGCUAGACAAAGGGAAUAGAAUUCUACAAGAACAUCUGGAAACCUUUGUCCAUACAGGUCUUUGCCCAAACAGUUGCGGGUUGCUAAAUCAGAGAGUCAUAAACUGUGAGACCUGUGCCUCUCAGAUACGCACCUGCCCCUCUCCACUCGGCCGGGAUACCUGUGGCAGUGAGUUAUACUUGUCCAUCCAUCCAUCUAUAUGUCUGUCCAUAUCUGUAUACACAAAUACACAGUAUGUCUUCCUUUCUGCUCUGCUCCUCUUUUUUGUUUGUUACCGCACGUCACCAGCAGGGUAGUAUUAAUUUUUCUUUCUCUGCCUUGGUCAGAGCGUCACCUGGAAGCAGAGGAGGGAAGCUCUGCAGUAUUGGACUGCUCUUUGCCCUGGCACAACUUGGUGGAGGGAGACAAGUUGUACCAGUUCUCUCGGUACUCAAAUCCUGCUGCCACGUUUAUCGUGUUUACAGCCAGCGAUUCAUCAAGUGUGGUGCUGAAACACAUAAACUUGGAUGACAAAGGAUUGUACCAGUGCCAUUUACUGGACAGCAACAACAAGGUUUUGACCAGCUUGAAAUACCAACUGACUGUCAAACCUUCAGCCCCCACCACACCUGCGCCCACGCCUCCCACGAUUCCUCCUCAUGACUGCGG